UCAUCUCCUCCUUCUUCAUCACCUACAUCCAAUUUCCUCUCCUCCAUCCCCAAUCUCAUCCCCGGUUAUCGAUUGAAGCCGGGGCCUGCCUCCCUGCCAAUCCAAUCGCAACCCUCGUUUUCUUCCGAAUACUCUUCGAAAGACGUGAUUCUUCCCUUCUAGGGUGAUUGGUGAGAGAUGGGGGCUUUGAUUCGAGGUGCUGAGACCGACCGAGAUGGAGGUGGCGGCCCAGCUCAAGCGCGGCAGCUUUCGGUGGGUUCUUUGACGAGAAGCGGGAGAUUUAGUUUCCGGCGCAACUUCUCCUUCGACCCGCAGGUCGCCAACGUGAUGAGGUUUAUCUUCGGGUAGCAAUCCUCGCUCGAUCCGUGCCACGGGAGCAGGAACCUCCCCAGGGAGGAGAUCACGGUGCCGGAGAACCUUGACUCCGCCAUACAGCUCACGUUCUUGGCUUGCCAUGGGGAUGAAAAGAGGGUGGAGGUGCUCCUGAAGGACGGCGUCGACGUGAGCAGCACUGAUCUGGACGGUAGGACGGUUCUACAUAUAGCGGCAUGUGAGGGACACGUUGAUGUCUUGAACCUUUGCUUUGCUGGAAAGCCAAUGUUGAUGCCAGAAAUCGGUGGGGUAGCAAGCCUGUUCACUGCUUGGUAGGCUGCUGCAGAUGCCAAGUGCUAAGGCAACGUGGAAGUAUACAACAUUUACUGCCUUAUGAUAUAUAAGCAAUAUUGUUGGAGAACACAGUAUUCACGUAUUUUAAUUCACCCAUUAUUGGAUGUGGGUUUUCCCUUUCUUUUGAUGUCGGAUCUGCCUCCGUUUCCAU